GGACGAACGCUGGCGGCGUGCCUAAUACAUGCAAGUCGAGCGGACUUGAUGGAGAGCUUGCUCUCCUGAUGGUUAGCGGCGGACGGGUGAGUAACACGUAGGCAACCUGCCUGCAAGACCGGGAUAACCCACGGAAACGUGAGCUAAUACCGGAUAUCUCAUUUCCUCUCCUGAGGGRAUGAUGAAAGACGGAGCAAUCUGUCACUUGCGGAUGGGCCUGCGGCGCAUUAGCUAGUUGGUGAGGUAACGGCUCACCAAGGCGACGAUGCGUAGCCGACCUGAGAGGGUGAACGGCCACACUGGGACUGAGACACGGCCCAGACUCCUACGGGAGGCAGCAGUAGGGAAUCUUCCGCAAUGGGCGAAAGCCUGACGGAGCAACGCCGCGUGAGUGAUGAAGGUUUUCGGAUCGUAAAGCUCUGUUGCCAGGGAAGAACGUCCGRUAGAGUAACUGCUAUCGGAGUGACGGUACCUGAGAAGAAAGCCCCGGCUAACUACGU
rnacentral:rRNA from 1 species